GAUGAUGAACGUAGCGAAAUGCGAUACGUAAUGUGAAUUGCAGAAUUCAGUGAAUCAUCGAAUCUUUGAACGCAUAUUGCGCUCUUUGGUAUUCCGAAGAGCAUGCUUGUUUGAGUAUCAGUAAACACCUCAAAACUUUUUUUUAUUUUUUAAAAACCAGUUUUGGACUUGAGCAAUCCCAACACCAAUCUUUUUUAGAUCGGUGGCGGGUUGCUUGAAAUGCAGGUGCAGCUGGACAUUCUCCUGAGCUAAAAGCAUAUUUAUUUAGUCCCGUCAAACGGAUUAUUACUUUUGCUGCAGCUAAUAUAAAGGGAGUUUGACCGUUUUGGCUGACUGAUGCAGGAUUUCACAAGGGUCGGCAACGAUUCUUGUAAAACUCGAUCUCAAAUCAAGUAAGACUACCCGCUGAACUUAAGCAUAUCAAUAAGCGGAGGA
rnacentral:misc_RNA from 1 species